UACAGAGGUCUCAAGCGUUGUUCGGAUUCAUUGGGCGUAAAGGGCGCGUAGGCGGCUCGCCAAGUCGGGGGUGAAAUCUUUCGGCUCAACCGGAAAAUAGCUUCCGAUACUGGCGGGCUGGAGGGAGGUAGGGGCGACUGGAACUUCCGGUGGAGCGGUGAAAUGCGUAGAGAUCCGGAGGAACACCAGUGGCGAAGGCGACACGCUGGGCCGUACCUGACACUGAUGCGCGACAGCAUGGGGAGCAAACAGG
rnacentral:rRNA from 1 species